rnacentral:ncRNA from 1 species
ACUACUUUUAACACAAGGUCUUGGUCUCAAACCUCCUGUUAUCUAAACCCCAUACUUAUACAUGCAAGACUCAUACACACCAGUGAAACAGCCCACACCUACAUUGCGGAGCCGAUAUCAGGCCAACUGCCCAUGACAUCAAGCAACUCAGCCACACCCCCACGGGUUCACAGCAGUACUUAACAUUAGGCCAUAAGCGCAAGCUUGACCAAAUAAUGGGGCCCCAGGGCCGGUUAAUCUCGUGCCAGCGACCGCGGUUACACGACAGACCCAAGAUAACACCAUCGGCGUAAAGCACGACUAAAACCAAUAGUUCCCCCCCCAGAGAAAAAGACAGGCUGGGCUGUAAAAAGCCAUAAGCCCAACUAAUCACAAACCCUGAUUCCAAACUACUUCAACUCGUGAAAGCCAGGACACAAACUAAGAUUAGAUACCUUACUAUGCCCGGCCAUAAUAAAACGAUUAAACCACCAACCGUUCGCCAAAUUACUACGAGUAAAAACUUAAAACUUAAAAGACUUGACGGUACUUCACACCAACCUAGAGGAGCCUGUCUAAUAACCGAUGAUCCACGAUUAACCCAACCAGCUUUAGCCCAACAGUCUAUAUACCGCCGUCGCCAGCUUACCUUGUGAAAGAACCUAAGUAAGCCCAAUAACCCCAUUAACACGACAGGUCGAGGUGUAACUAAUAAGCUGGACCUAGAUGGGCUACAUUUUCUAACCCAGAAAAGACGAACAGACUAUGAAACUGGAAACUGAAGGCGGAUUUAGCAGUAAGUCUGGGAAUAGACACACCCAACCGAAAUAAACGCAAUGAAGUGCGCACACACCGCCCGUCGUCCCUGCAAAAUAACCAAUUUAUUCAUAAACACUACCACACCACCAGAACAGGGUAAGUCGUAACAUGGUAAGCGUACUGGAAAGUGCGCUUAG